rnacentral:rRNA from 1 species
CCUACGGGAGGCAGCAGUGAGGAAUAUUGGUCAAUGGACGAGAGUCUGAACCAGCCAAGUAGCGUGAAGGAUGACUGCCCUAUGGGUUGUAAACUUCUUUUAUAUGGGAAUAAAAUGUUCCACGUGUGGGAUUUUGUAUGUACCAUAUGAAUAAGGAUCGGCUAACUCCGUGCCAGCAGCCGCGGUAAUACGGAGGAUCCGCGCGUUAUCCGGAUUUCUUGGGUUUAAAGGGAGCGUAGGUGGAUUGUUAAGUCAGUUGUGAAAGUUUGCGGCUCAACCGUAAAAUUGCAGUUGAAACUGGCAGUCUUGAGUACAGUAGAGGUGGGCGGAAUUCGUGGUGUAGCGGUGAAAUGCUUAGAUAUCACGAAGAACUCCGAUUGCGAAGGCAGCUCACUGGACUGCAACUGACACUGAGGCUCGAAAGUGUGGGUAUCAAACAGGAUUAGAUACCCCAGUAGUC